rnacentral:rRNA from 1 species
UACGUAGGUGGCAAGCGUUGUCCGGAUUUACUGGGCGUAAAGAGCGCGCAGGCGGCCGAGUAAGUCGAAUGUGAAAGCCCCCGGCUCAACUGGGGAAGGUCAUUCGAUACUGUUCGGCUUGAAGAUAGGAGAGGGAUGCGGAAUUUCCGGUGUAGCGGUGAAAUGCGUAGAGAUCGGGAGGAACAUCCGUGGCGAAGGCGACUACCUGGACCAGCACUGACACUGAGGCACGAAAGCGUGGGGAGCAAACAGG